rnacentral:rRNA from 1 species
UGGAGCUUUACUGCAGCUUGAUAUUGAAUUUGGGUACGAUCUGUACAGGAUAGGUGGGAGCCGUAGAACUUUGAGCGCCAGCUUGAAGGGAGGCAUCCUUGGGAUACCACCCUGAUCGUAUCUAGGUUCUAACUUGGUACCGUGAUCCGGUACGAGGACAGUGUCAGGUGGGCAGUUUGACUGGGGCGGUCGCCUCCUAAAGAGUAACGGAGG